rnacentral:rRNA from 1 species
AACGAACGCUGGCGGCAGGCCUAACACAUGCAAGUCGAACGAACCUUCGGGUUAGUGGCGCACGGGUGCGUAACACGUGGGAAUAUACAUUUCGGUAAGGAAUAACACAGAGAAAUUUGUGCUAAUACCUUAUAAUGACUCCGGUCCAAAGAUUUAUCGCCGAAGGAUUAGCCCGCGCUAGAUUAGUUUGUUGGUGAGGUAAGAGCUCACCAAGACUACGAUCUAUAGCUGGUCUUAGAGGAUGAUCAGCCACACUGGAACUGAGACACGGUCCAGACUCCUACGGGAGGCAGCAGUAAGGAAUAUUGGACAAUGGAGGAAACUCUGAUCCAGCCAUGCCGCGUGAGUGAAGAAGGCC